CCUUCGGAAACUCAAUAAAAAAUGUCUCAUAUAAAAACUCCGUAUUGCCCGUAUAACCUUUUUAUCACUUUUAUUUUUGUCGUUUGAAAUUGGCCUCUGCUCCCUCUCAAAAAUCUGCUUUCUUCUUCUUCUUCUUCCUAUCUGUUCUGCUCUCUCUCACAGAUGAAACCCUAAAUUUCUUCUUCUCUUCUCUGCUAUGCUCUAUCUGUGAUGAAACCACAAUUUUGCAUCUCCUCUCUCUUACUGAUACCCAGCCCUAAUUCUCAAUUCUACAUAUUCUUCGUUUUCUGGAUCCAAAGGCCAUCUUCUUUUGCGCCACCCCUUGUUGCGAGUGUUGUGUUUGGAGCAACGAAGUCAUGGAAACUGCAGGAGGUUCUAGAAGGAUGCAAGGUCGAGCUCAUACCUGAAGUAAAUACAUAAAUCAACAAGAAAGGUUUCCUAAUCCAUGCCCGGAUCAAAAUUGAUAGUUAAUGAUGGAGAAUAUUGGUCUAGAAAGUUGCUCAAAAUCCAAAUCCUUGUGCCCCGCAGGUGUUCGAUGAAUCACCUUAAUGAGCGCACUAUGGUUUUCUUUGAGAUACAAACAAAUUGGGCCAAUUCUCAUGGUAUAUACGUGAACUUCUGGGAGGACCCAAUGAACCCAUCCAAAUGGAAGGAAGAACAUCAGGUAAUAAGGGCUAGUUUCUUGAAUGUCUCUCUCUUUUGAAUAUGGAGUAACAAAUCCUCACACAUCUUCGUGGGGCUGAUCGUUUUGGAUGUCUACUUUCUUUUGGACAAUGCAAGUAUCCAAUCCUCUCAAGCUAUAGGAAAACUUUUUUGACUUGGUUAAUGCCAAUUUACUUUCAUCAAACUUUUCAGAAGCACCUGCAGAGCCCGAAGCAAAGCCUGCAGAAGCUGUGGCUGCGGCUAAGUCUUGGCCUAUUUAACGUGGAAGUAGUCAUUUAAUAUGUCUAAGUUGAUGAAAUUUGGGUGGUAUCCUGUAAACUAUCAUGUACUCGUUCAACUUGUCCUUGUUUCUAAGCGACAAUGUUUCUCUCUCAACUUGUAUGACUUUCUGUAUAAAUAAAUUGAAGUGAGAAAUUGUGUUAUGUCAAGCCUUCUUUCAGAUCC